rnacentral:rRNA from 1 species
AACAGGUUAAUAUUCCUGUACUUGGUGUUACUGCGAAGGGGGGACGGAGAAGGCUAUGUUGGCCGGGCGACGGUUGUCCCGGUUUAAGCGUGUAGGCUGGUUUUCCAGGCAAAUCCGGAAAAUCAAGGCUGAGGCGUGAUGACGAGGCACUACGGUGCUGAAGCAACAAAUGCCCUGCUUCCAGGAAAAGCCUCUAAGCAUCAGGUAACAUCAAAUCGUACCCCAAACCGACACAGGUGGUCAGGUAGAGAAUACCAAGGCGCUUGAGAGAACUCGGGUGAAGGAACUAGGCAAAAUGGUGCCGUAACUUCGGGAGAAGGCACGCUGAUAUGUAGGUGAAGUCCCUCGCGGAUGGAGCUGAAAUCAGUCGAAGAUACCAGCUGGCUGCAACUGUUUAUUAAAAACACAGCACUGUGCAAACACGAAAGUGGACGUAUACGGUGUGACGCCUGCCCGGUGCCGGAAGGUUAAUUGAUGGGGUCAGCGCAAGCGAAGCUCUUGAUCGAAGCCCCGGUAAACGGCGGCCGUAACUAUAACGGUCCUAAGGUAGCGAAAUUCCUUGUCGGGUAAGUUCCGACCUGCACGAAUGGCGUAAUGAUGGCCAGGCUGUCUCCACCCGAGACUCAGUGAAAUUGAACUCGCUGUGAAGAUGCAGUGUACCCGCGGCAAGACGGAAAGACCCCGUGAACCUUUACUAUAGCUUGACACUGAACAUUGAGCCUUGAUGUGUAGGAUAGGUGGGAGGCUUUGAAGUGUGGACGCCAGUCUGCAUGGAGCCGACCUUGAAAUACCACCCUUUAAUGUUUGAUGUUCUAACGUGGACCCGUGAUCCGGGUUGCGGACAGUGUCUGGUGGGUAGUUUGACUGGGGCGGUCUCCUCCUAAAGAGUAACGGAGGAGCACGAAGGUUGGCUAAUCCUGGUCGGACAUCAGGAGGUUAGUGCAAUGGCAUAAGCCAGCUUGACUGCGAGCGUGACGGCGCGAGCAGGUGCGAAAGCAGGUCAUAGUGAUCCGGUGGUUCUGAAUGGAAGGGCCAUCGCUCAACGGAUAAAAGGUACUCCGGGGAUAACAGGCUGAUACCGCCCAAGAGUUCAUAUCGACGGCGGUGUUUGGCACCUCGAUGUCGGCUCAUCACAUCCUGGGGCUGAAGUAGGUCCCAAGGGUAUGGCUGUUCGCCAUUUAAAGUGGUACGCGAGCUGGGUUUAGAACGUCGUGAGACAGUUCGGUCCCUAUCUGCCGUGGGCGCUGGAGAACUGAGGGGGGCUGCUCCUAGUACGAGAGGACCGGAGUGGACGCAUCACUGGUGUUCGGGUUGUCAUGCCAAUGGCACUGCCCGGUAGCUAAAUGCGGAAGAGAUAAGUGCUGAAAGCAUCUAAGCACGAAACUUGCCCCGAGAUGAGUUCUCCCUGACCCUUUAAGGGUCCUGAAGGAACGUUGAAGACGACGACGUUGAUAGGCCGGGUGUGUAAGCGCAGCGAUGCGUUGAGCUAACCGGUACUAAUGAACCGUGAGGCUUAACCUUACAACGCCGAAGGUGUUU